GACGAACCACACGAACGUUAUUCGGAAUUACUGGGCUUAAAGGGUGCGUAGGCGGCGCGGUAAGUAGGGUGUGAAAUCCCUCGGCUCAACUGAGGAACUGCGCUCUAAACUACCGUGCUUGAGGGAGGUAGAGGUGAGCGGAACUUAGGGUGGAGCGGUGAAAUGCGUUGAUAUCCUAAGGAACACCGGUGGCGAAAGCGGCUCACUGGAUCUCUUCUGACGCUGAGGCACGAAAGCUAGGGUAGCGAACGGG
rnacentral:rRNA from 1 species